GAUGAACGCUGGCGGCGUGCCUAAUACAUGCCAGUCGAGCGAACAGACGAGGAGCUUGCUCCUCUGACGUUAGCGGCGGACGGGUGAGUAACACGUGGAUAACCUACCUAUAAGACUGGGAUAACUUCGGGAAACGGGAGCUAAUACCGGAUAAUCUAUUGAAGCGCAUGGGGCGAUGGUGAAAGACGGUGUUGCUGUCACGUCUAGAUGGAUCCGCGCGGCAUGAGGUAGUUGUGAAGGUACCGGCUUACCAAGGCAACGAGGCGUAACCGAGGUGAGAGGGUGAUAGGCCACACUGGAACGGAGCCACGGUCAAUACUCCUACGGGAGGCAGCAGUAGGCAAUCUGCCGCAAUGGGGGAAAGCAUGACGCAGCAACGGCGAGUGAGUGAUGAAGGUCUCGGGAUCGUAAAACUCUCUUAUUAGGGAAGAACCAAUGUGUAAGUAACUAUGCACGUCUUGACGGUAACUAAUAAGAAAGCCACGGCUAACUACGUG
rnacentral:rRNA from 1 species